AUUGAACGCUGGCGGCAGGCCUAACACAUGCAAGUCGAACGAGUGGCGGACGGGUGAGUAAUGUCUGGGAAACUGCCUGAUGGAGGGGGAUAACUACUGGAAACGGUAGCUAAUACCGCAUACCAUCAGAUGUGCCCAGAUGGGAUUAGCUUGUUGGUGGGGUAACGGCUCACCAAGGCGACGAUCCCUAGCUGGUCUGAGAGGAUGACCAGCCACACGGGAACGUGGACACGGUCCAGAUUCCUACGUGAGGCAGCAGUGGGGAAUUUUGGACAAUGGGGGCAACCAUGAUCCAGCCAUGCCGCGGGUAUGAAGAAGGCCUUCGGGUUGUAAAGUACUUUUGUUAGGGAAGCGGUACCUAAAGAAUAAGCACCGGCUAACUCCGUGCCAGCAGCCGCGGUAAUUC
rnacentral:rRNA from 1 species